rnacentral:rRNA from 1 species
UACGGAGGGAGCUAGCGUUGUUCGGAAUUACUGGGCGUAAAGCGCACGUAGGCGGCUUUGUAAGUUAGAGGUGAAAGCCCGGGGCUCAACCCCGGAAUUGCCUUUAAGACUGCAUCGCUUGAAUCCGGGAGAGGUGAGUGGAAUUCCGAGUGUAGAGGUGAAAUUCGUAGAUAUUCGGAAGAACACCAGUGGCGAAGGCGGCUCACUGGACCGGUAUUGACGCUGAGGGUGCGAAAGCGUGGGGAGCAAAACAGG